CCUACGGGAGGCUGCAGUAGGGAAUAUUGCUCAAUGGGGGAAACCCUGAAGCAGCAACGCCGCGUGGAGGAUGAAGGUUUUCGGAUUGUAAACUCCUUUUGUUAGAGAAGAUAAUGACGGUAUCUAACGAAUAAGCACCGGCUAACUCCGUGCCAGCAGCCGCGGUAAUACGGAGGGUGCAAGCGUUACUCGGAAUCACUGGGCGUAAAGAGCGCGUAGGCGGGAUAGCAAGUCAGAUGUGAAAUCCUAUGGCUUAACCAUAGAACUGCAUUUGAAACGGUUAGUUUAGAGUAUGGGAGAGGUAGGUGGAAUUCUUGGGGGAGGGGGAAAAGCCGUAGAGAUAAAGAGGAAUACUCGUGGCGAAGGCGACCUGCUAGAACAUAACUGACGCUGAGGCGCGAAAGCGUGGGGAGCAAACAGGAUUAGAUACCCGGGUAGUC
rnacentral:rRNA from 1 species